ACCCGCUGAAUGUAAGCAUAUCAAUAAGCGGAGGAAAAGAAACUAACAAGGAUUCCCCUAGUAACUGCGAGUGAAGCGGGAAAAGCUCAAAUUUAAAAUCUGGUGGUCUUUGGCCAUCCGAGUUGUAAUCUAGAGAAGUGUUAUCCGCGCUGGACCGUGUACAAGUCCCCUGGAAUGGGGCGUCAUAGAGGGUGAGAAUCCCGUCUUUGACACGGACUACCAGGGCUUUGUGAUGCACUCUCAAAGAGUCGAGUUGUUUGGGAAUGCAGCUCAAAAUGGGUGGUAAAUUCCAUCUAAAGCUAAAUAUUGGCGAGAGACCGAUAGCGAACAAGUACCGUGAGGGAAAGAUGAAAAGAACUUUGGAAAGAGAGUUAAACAGUACGUGAAAUUGUUGAAAGGGAAACGCUUGAAGUCAGUCGCGUCUGCCAGGGAUCAACCUUACUUUUGUGAGGCGUACUUCCUGGUUGAUGGGUCAGCAUCAGUUUUGGUUGCUGGAUAAAGGUCAGAGAAAUGUGGCACCUUCGGGUGUGUUAUAGUCUUUGAUCAGAUACAGUGGCUGGGACUGAGGAACUCAGCGCCGCAAGGCUGUCUUAGGAUGCUGGCAAAAUGGCUUUAAUCGACCCCUCUUGAAACACGGACCAAGGA
rnacentral:rRNA from 1 species